AUCACUCUUUCUGUCUUAUAUAUAAAUUUUAUGAGCCAAUUGGUGGCAGAAAUACUUCUGCAAAGUCGAACUGUUAUUUCACACAGGCUUAGCCAUCCAUUUCCAAGUGCAGCUCCUCAGUGCCAUGCUGGACCGACACUCAGGAUGUCAACAGAGAGAGCUCACUUGCUCUGAACCGUGAAUUGAGGAACAACUUUUUCAUAAGGUGGAUAACAAAACACCCGCAUUUUGCCUGUAAAAACCUCUGUUGCUGGCAGUUUGGAAGACCAGAUCCCUGCAGGUAGAUUUACUGCGUGUGAGGCUGUUUGAAUGGGAGGGAGGCCCCAGCAAGGGUCUGUUCAAUUCAAUAUGCAUUCAUAAUGUACGGCGGAAGGCUUGCCAGCAGACCUGGGCCAAGAUCAGACGUUCCUCCAGUCCUGCCUCACACCUUUUUUUUGGGUAUCUACUGCACAGUGCCAUGAAAAAGGUCGCGUGCCAGGGCACGAGCAGGAAAAGGGCCGUGACAUUUCAGAGAUGAGUGCGUGAAGCACAACCCUCCCCUCACACAUGGUCUGCGUGGUUGCUGGUGUUUACCAGAGCUGCAGGUCCUGUCCCACCAGAAGAACCCCAAGAUAUAGCAAAGAGGGUUUUUAUUCCUUGAGAGGCUGCAUUUGGGAACUCAUUUUGGAGUUAGGGUAGGGCCCGAUGCGUGCUUGCAGCUGCACCACGCUGGGCACAGCUCACCCUGCUGCUGCCUGCCUCCUGCGCUGGCUGAGCAGUUCCCUGGGUUUGCCAUCAGUAACCUUCAGCCUGGUGGGGAAGAAAAGGGAAGAGCUCUGUCCAAGGCUCAGCAGGUUGUGAAAAGAGUAAGGAAAAGGUGCAGAAACUGCUUGGGGGAGUGAACAGGAGGCAGAACUGGAACCAGGAACCUGCAGCCUCUCUGGCUGCAGUGGACAUUGGACUGGGCUGUAUUUAUACACCAGAGUCUGGUUUCACUCAGCAUCCUGUGCUGAUCUAGCAGGCUCUAAACACCAUCUAAGAUGAUGGGAAUACGCCAGAGGCUGCCCACACCUCCUGCCCUUGCCUGGGGGCCAGGACCGUCUCCAUCUCCUGUCCCUCUGGCUCCCUCCCCCACCAGCAUGGAUGCCCACGGUGCAGAUGGCUGUCUGGAAGCGUAAUGACAUUUACCAAAGGGGACCAGAAAUGAUCACUGAGGGACUGCAAAUAAUGAAGCCAAUUCCUUUUAUUGACACACGUGGAAGCUGUUUAAUUUCGGAUGUUGGCUGUCAGAAAAUAGAGCUCUUCUGCGGAGGUUUUCUCAGGGAAGCAAUAUUGCGCUUGGUGUCAAGGUUUGUGCUCGCAUUUAAAAGCGAGAUAUCCUCAGCUCUUAGAUUUGAAGCUUCUUCAUGACUCUAACCUAUCACUUACACAUUCAACAUGCAUCUAAGAGCCUGAUCUGUCUCUGCUUGCAGACUACAAUGAUUUUUUGCCAAGGAUUUCUUGCUGAGAAAGACGAGAUACCAAAUAACAUGCACAUUUUCAUUCAUUCCCUCUGAAAAUGCAGCUGUAAGCCUAGCACUCAAGCUGGGCACUCGGUUGCCUUUCAGCCCCUGAUUUCUGCUUUAGGCAUUCUGCUUUUCCAUUUGGGUCACAAAACUCGGUGUUCUUGGGGUUCCUCAUGUGCUCUAAGGAGCUGUGACCUUUGCCACCACGCUGUGCAGUGAGCCAGGAGGAGCAAUGUGCCUCACAGAGGGUGAACCUAAAGCUGAGCAUCGCAGACUUGAGGACCAGGGAAACACCUCUUGUUAGGAGGGGCUGCAGGUGCAAUUUCCCCCUUGCCUGCCUUUGGUGAAUCCUGCCUCCAUCAGCUUCCCUGGCCUUGUCCUGGGCAAGCACCAGCAUUAUUUGCUCCCUGAAGCUUGUGAGUGUGGGGUACCACGCAGCUACGCCGGCUGUCUCAAACUCCCACAAGAUCCUAGAGAGUCCCCAGCACCCCAAAAACAGCGUCACAAGACCAGGAGGUGCAGCAGAGGAGGUUUGGGUGCCCACCAGGGCUGAGAGGUGUCACUUGGCAUCCACGCCUUCCUGUUGGGAACUGGAAAAGAAGGAUUUAAUGGUUAUUUUUGCAAGCAUUAAUGUGUGGGGAGGGAGAAUGGUGGGCACUAUUUUUCUGGGAGGGGGGAAUCUCUUCUAAAUGCCUCUGCAGCCUGGCAGCGCAGCCUGGCCCAGCCACCCCUGGGACUGCAGCCCCCAAAGGGGCUUUAAUAGCAGCCUCCUCUCCGAGGACACAUGCAUUAGGGCUUAUA